ACCCAGAGUCCAGCAUGGAAAGACCUUUUCCCUCCCUAAAUGCCUCUCCACUUCCCUGCCGAGGGUGACCUGGCUGGAAUGUCGAGCUGCAGAGCCCAGGUGGGGGCAGGUCUGGCCCCUGGGACUGUGGGAGCAGUGCCAGUCUGGGUGCCCACACCCUGCAGGCCUCAAAUAGGAGAGGGAAACCGGCUGAGCAGAACCUUCCUGAGCUGGAGCUUUCCUGCCCCGUGUCCUGCUGGGCCCCGGCUGCAGCUGCACCCUGGAAAUGCAAAAGUGAACAUGUAUUUUUGAAAGGGAGAAGAGAAAAUGUCUUCUCUGUUUCUUGGUUACCACCAUGGUUUUUUAAUCUGUAAUAACUGUGUUUUGUGUGUGUUGCUUUCAGGAAAAUACAUUUGUUACCAUGGCAACAAGAGUAGCUUUUCCCCCAGAUCCCAGUGCUCGGAUAGUCGAGGGCAACAGUGGAAUCCCAGGGCCGCAGGAGCAGCAGGAUUGCCUGGAGCUCCCUUGGACUGGGGAUUUGGGUGUGGGGGUGACACUGGGGGCUCAGCUCUGUGUGUGUGAGCACUAACAACCCUCUGUGCUUCCAGUGCUGGGCAGAGAUGGAGCUGCAACGUGGAGUUCAACGGCUGGAGAUGAACAGCCACACACCAUCUGCUCACUGACAGGCAAUGAGAGGUUUGCUGUUCUCUCCAUGGGGAAAAACUCUCCAGCCAGUGGUGGAUGAAGUGAUGGAUGGUGGCCUCAGCCACCCAAGAGCUCUGCCAGCCGUGGGCUCUGGGGUUGGUGGUUGCUGAGGUAAAAGCAGCAGGACUUUCCCAAUGCCAGGAGUUCCAGGUCAGAGCUGUCAGGAGGAGGAGCCCACUGUGGGUGAGCUGAGAGUCACUGCCUGGGCCCCUUGCUUGUGGGCUCUGUGGGGGGAGAACUCUGGCAGGGUGAUGGUCCUGAGUGGCUGCAGCCCCAUAAUGCCCCUGUUCCUGGAGGACUUGUCAAGGCUCUGCUGGACACGAGAGCCAGAAAUCUCACUGUGACAGUCGCUGUCUCUGCCGAGCCUUUGAAGGGCCAUGUGUGUUCCCUGAGCUCUACAUCACUAAAAUGAAUCCCCUGAGAGGGCUGGUUGGCUUCAAUCACACUGACCCCCAGCGUCCCUCAGGGCUGCACUCACCUCUCUCAGUAGCUGACAGGGAUUUUUCUUUAAGAUUUGUUAUUUUUAAAUUCCUUGGUGUCUUCCAUGUUCUUGGGUCACUAAGGGGAACCUCCAGCAGCACAAACACCUCUGACAUCCAAAAGCCUCCAAGCAGCAGGAGGGCCUCAGCACAGCUCCUGCCUGGAGCCCCCAGCUCUGCUUCCCUGCAGACCCAGGCAGGGGGAAUAAACACUGAUGGAUGUGUUUGAGAAGUGAGACAGAGCUUCGAGUGCCCAGCACUGACCUUUGGUGUCUCACUGCCCUGAUUGUCACCUGCAGGGGCUUUGUCCUGCCCAGUGCAGCAGUGGAGUGUGCAGGUGAAACACCAGGAAUUAAGAUUUUGGUCCUUCCUGUCCAUCUUCCCCAGGAUUUUCAUGGAUGGUGUCUCCUGGGCUGUCACAGCACGCAGAGGUGGCUCAGGCUGAACCUCAAGCCCAGAUGGACACGCGCAAAUGUUGGCUGAGCACUGGCAGAGUGGAGCCCUCCUGGGAAUGGCAGCUGGGGGAGGCAGGAAUGGGAGCUGUGUCUCACCCUGAGGCACAGUCCCCUGGCUGGGAUGGAUCCAGGAAAACCAGCUCCAACAGCACCUGACUGCGAGCCUCGGGCUGCCCGUGGGAGCUGCAAUCCUGAGGGAAAGGGGAGCAGGAUGCUUUAUCACAAACCUUGGAAGGAUGAACCUGGACCAGGAGCUUUGGAUGGUUUGGGAAGGAGAAAAAAGAACAACAUAAGGACAUUCCUGAUGGGAAUUGGCCCAAGAGGUCCCUGUCAGGGCUUUGGCCACCCCCAAACCCCACAGGACUCCUCGUGGGUUCCCUUGGCAACAGCGAAGCCAACACGGGGAUAACAGCCUGGGAACACAAAGGCAGCACUGACACCCUUCCCCUCAGCAGCCAAGGACGAGAGCUGGUGACAGCGACCUUGGGACAGGCCAGCUCGAUGGGAAGGUGUCCCCAGCCAACCUUUCAACGCCCCAGGCACACGUGGUUCUUUGUUGGGAACUUGCCGGUGAUUGAAGUGACCCCUCGCUCCUGGUAACUCCAAACAAACACUGCGGCUCGUGCGGCGCUGCCCGUGCUCAGGAAGCAGCUGGAGGGAUGGAGGGACGAGGCUGGGAUGGAUUCCCAUAAAAGCCAGCACAGGCUGGAUCCCAGAUCCUACAACACCUCAGAGCAAGGGCUCUUCGUCAUCUUUAAUCCACGAGGCACAUCAGCACUUUGGUUUGUGAUUUCCCAGUGGGAAUGAAAGCUGGACACACAUGGGAAGCACAUCUAUGACUUUACUACAGCUGCUGUCACGGGACAGAAACAGGGAGCUGGUGGAUGAGAGCCUGGAUUUUAAAUCAUGGAAUCACAGACUGGCUUGGGCUGGAAGGAGCUUAGAGCUCAUCUCAUUCCACCCCCUGCCAUGGGCAGGGACACCUUCCACUAGCCCAGGCUGCUCCAACCCCCUCCAACUCGGAUUCUAUGAGGAUUGGCCAUCAUUCCCUGCCCUUUGGCAGGGGGUUGGAACUGGAUGAGCUUUAAGGUCCCUUCCAACCCAAACCUUCUGGAAUUCCAUGGUUUUAAUUCCUCCUCUGAAGAUGUGCCCCUCUUGGAGAGACUCUUCUGUUACUUUUCUCCUCUUGGAAGGUAAACAGCAUUUCAUUACACGAUUAAUAAACCCACGGACAAACCAACGUUAUUGCAACAAAAAUAAAUAAAAAUUUAACUGAA